rnacentral:lncRNA from 1 species
ACUUUACUAAUUUUUUAGACACCAGGUACAAUCAUAAUGCUGCAAAUCGAGCAACAUCUUAAAAAAUGAACUAAAAUCUUAAUUUCUAUGGAAUCCAAGCAAACAAAGCAAGCCAAACAGGUCAGCUAAACCAUAAAACUUUGUCAUCUUUACUAAGUAAAUAAGGCAAGAAAAAAAAACUAGGACAAUAAAGCAAAACAGAACCCAUCAAGAUGUGAGGCACGUCUACGAGGCGAUCUCAUCAUGAGCUACCAAGAUCCCCAUCUGUGAGCCACAUUCCAUGGACAUUGUCGAGAGCAGGCAUCAUGAGGGACAUAGUGCAGCACUGCUACACACCAUAGAUCUACCGCACCCUUUGAAGCACAUUCAACACCUACAAAUCACACACAGCGAGCCACGCGGAGAGGCAAGCCAUGAAGCACAACAAAUAGAUGGAAAAAAAUGAAGAAAAAUCAAGGAUGACGAUAAGCCAGGGCAACUCACCUCGCACAGCCGGCAGGACGAAGCCCGGACGCCGCACCCACCGACAGGACCUGCCCUCGCCCCACCGCUGCGCCGUGCUCGCACUCACCGUGAAGAAAAAGCGAGGAUGACGAUAAGCCAGGGCGACUCAUCUCGCACAACCAACAGGACGAAGCCCGGACGCCGUGGCCACCGACAGGACCUGCCCUCGCCCUGCCGCUGCGCCGCACUCGCACUCACCGUCGGGGCCCAUCUGUGCGUCACGUCGACGGGCGCCCUUCCCCUGGUCAGCCCGCACCAGUGCCGCUGCUGCGCGGCGCCGCGUGAGGCUCAGAAUGGCCCGACACCCACGCCGGUGUGCCGCCGCCACGCACCACUCGCCACGGAGAAGCAAACGAUGAGGCGCGACCGAUGGACGGUGAAACAAAGGAAAAUGGAAAAUGGGGAGAAUUGGGUG